CUGAGACGUCUUUGUUUAGCUCUAUAUUCUCUGGAACGAUACAGAGAAGAUUAGCAUGGCCCCUGUACAAGGGUGACAGGCAAAUUCAUGAAGCAAUCCACAUUUUU
ensembl:snRNA LOC120100171 U6 spliceosomal RNA